CUUCUUAUGUCUUCGGGACCAGCCUGCUUGCACCAUGAAGAACUCCCAUUGUCUGAAUCCUCUGUCACAGCACUGGACAAAGCAUAAUGGACAAACAUAGAAAUAGUGAAGCAAUAUGAACUUCAUCACAGUUUGCAAAAUGUUGAUAGAUGACAACCAGUUCAACGAAAAACUCGGACCUUCUUUGUUGAUCUCCUGACUGACCACAGAGAUGGAAAACACCCGACAAGCUGCUGCGUCCAGCUGAG